UGAGGAAUAUUGGUCAAUGGACGAGAGUCUGAACCAGCCAAGUAGCGUGCAGGAUGACAGCCCUAUGGGUUUUAAACUGCUUUUAUAAGGGAAUAAAAGUCGCCACGUGUGGUGUAUUGCAUGUACCUUAUGAAUAAGCAUCGGCUAAUUCCGUGCCAGCAGCCGCGGUAAUACGGAAGAUGCGAGCGUUAUCCGGAUUUAUUGGGUUUAAAGGGAGCGUAGGCGGAAGGGUAAGUCAGCCGUUAAAUAACGUCGCUCAACGGCGUAAUGCGGUUGAAACUGCCUUUCUUGAGUGUACACAAGGUGGAUGGAAUUCGUGGUGUAGCGGUGAAAUGCUUAGAUAUCACGAAGAACUCCGAUUGCGAAGGCAGUUCACCGGGGUACAACUGACGCUGAGGCUCGAAAGUGCGGGAAUCAAACAGG
rnacentral:rRNA from 1 species